rnacentral:rRNA from 1 species
AUUGAACGCUGGCGGCAGGCUUAACACAUGCAAGUCGAGCGAGCGGCGGACGGGUGCGUAAUGUCUGGUAAACUGCCUGAUGGAGGGGGAUAACUACUGGAAACGGUGGCUAAUACCGCAUACCAUCAGAUGUGCCCAGAUGGGAUGAGCUAGUAGGUGGGGUAAUGGCUCACCUAGGCGUCGAUCCCUAGCUGGUCUGAGAGGAUGACCAGCCACACUGGAACUGAGACACGGGCCAGACUCCUACGGGUGGCAGCAGUGGGGAAUAUUGGACAAGGGGCGCAAGCCGUAUACAGCCAUGCCGCGUGUGUGAAGAAGGCCUUCGGGUUGUAAAGCACUUUCAGCGAGGAGGCGUUACUCGCAGAAGAAGCACCGGCUAACUCCGUGCAAGCAGCCGCGGUAAUAC